UCAAAAUCUGCAGUUUUACAGAAUUUGAUUCUUUAGCUCUCGAAAACCUUCCGCAACGCACUUUUAAUUAUUUUAAUACCUUCGGACUUUCCGAAGUGUACCAUCCUCGCACUUUGGUAAAUUUGACUAAAAUUCGAUAUUUAUUUUUCGAAUUUUCGGUAUAUUACACCCUGCCAAUGCAGUACCGGUACUCAAUGCAAUUUUCAGCAUUGCUUCACACGGAUCACUUCUAAUCCAUUA
rnacentral:lncRNA from 1 species